rnacentral:rRNA from 1 species
UACGAAGGGGGCUAGCGUUGCUCGGAAUCACUGGGCGUAAAGGGUGCGUAGGCGGGUCUUUAAGUCAGGGGUGAAAGCCCGGGGCUCAACCUCGGAACUGCCUUCGAUACUGGCUAUCUUGAGUACGGGAGAGGUGUGUGGAACUCCGAGUGUAGAGGUGAAAUUCGUAGAUAUUCGGAAGAACACCAGUGGCGAAGGCGACACACUGGCCCGUUACUGACGCUGAGGCACGAAGGCCAGGGGAGCAAACGGG